rnacentral:lncRNA from 1 species
UGUAUAUAUUUAAAUUCUUUGUUUCUUCUAAAAUUUUAGUUGCUUUGUUUCUUUUUAGUUUUUGUUGUUUUCCACGAUCUCAUAUUGAAGUAGGUUAUAGUCGUCUCUGCUUAUUAUAUGCCUUGUUUCCUUUGGGUGUCACUGGUUUGAAUUCAUUCAUUUUUUGAAUGGUCUGAUAUCAUGUUGAUCUUAGCCUCCUGGUCUGAAAUUUUACAUGGUUUGUUGAUCCUUGUCUCUUGAUUCUGUAUUUUUCUCACCUCUGAGGUUCUGAAUGGGUUUAUUAGAUUCUUAUCUUUUUCAUAUGAUGAUUCUCAGUAGGUGUCUUCUUUUAAGAGUUUCAUAUCAAUCAUAUUUCUUUCCUAGUAAUGGUGAGCUUCAGUAUUUACACAUGUUAGGAUAAAUUGAUUUUCUGAAAAUUGUGACUACUGAUAUUAGCUUUGUUUUAAUUUCCUGAUUUUUUUACUUCUAAGUUUUUGCUAAGUGUUAUAGUUUUGCCAUUUUUCCUGCAUAGUCAAUUGAGUCUUUUUUUGUGUUGGUUUUGGUUCAUCUUAAUGUAUUCGUUGAUAUUCAUAUAGUCUUGAAGUUGUGAUAAUUGUCCCCACCCUUUGUUAUUUAAUAAGGUCAC